rnacentral:lncRNA from 12 species
CUCACAGCAAAAGAUUUUCAGAACUGCAUGCCCUUCACUGAUGGAAACGCUGAAAAAUACCUUCCGUUGAAGUAUUUUGAAACUUGAGAGGACCACAGGAGAGGAAAUCAGAUGGCUUCUUCCCAAGCGAAGUUUCGAGAUACCACAGAAAACCUAGAAAGCGCUCAAACGAACCAAGACCAAAAUCAGAGAAAACGAGGUAGAGUUGGUCAUUAUUCCUUCACCAUUUCUGCAGCAACAAGGCUGCAAACCACCCAAGCAACAGUUAGAAGGAGAACCCUCACUUUGAGGAAGAUGGACCAAUCAUCUGUCCUUUGCAAAGUCAUCUAUAUUAUCAAUGGGUUUCCUGGAUUGAAUGAUGCAAGGACCUACAGCGCAGUCCCAGGACCUCCCACUCCAGUAAAGUGCCAAGAGGGGGCUGUGCUCGAAUGUGCCCUGGCUUGACCAAGGAUUUCAUGUAAUGGGGUUGUGGCCGCAGGCCUCAUGUCCAGAAGAAGGAAACAACAAAUAUGCAAGAUCUG